AACGAACGCUGGCGGCAUGCCUAACACAUGCAAGUCGAACGAGAUCUUCGGAUCUAGUGGCGCACGGGUGCGUAACGCGUGGUAAUCUGCCCCUUGCUUCGGAAUAACAGUGAGAAAUUACUGCUAAUACCGGAUGAUGUCUUCGGACCAAAGAUUUAUCGGCACGGGAUGGUCCCGCGUAGGAUUAGGUAGUUGGUGGGGUAAUGGCCUACCAAGCCGACGAUCCUUAGCUGGUACGAGAGGAUGAUCAGCCACACUGGGACUGAGACACGGCCCAGACUAGUACGGGAGGCAGCAGUGGGGAAUAUUGGAAAAUGGGCGAAAGCAUGAAAAAGCAAUGCCGGGUGAGUGAUGAAGGAAGUAGGGUAGUAAAGCUCUUUUAACAGGGAUGAUAAUGACAGUACCUGGAGAAUAAGCACCGGCUAACUACGUG
rnacentral:rRNA from 1 species